UUGUUUUGAAAGCUGAACACUGACAGAAUGUAAAUUCACUAUCAAAGAUUUUACAUGUUAAAAGAGACUAGGAAAAUACUAGAAGAAAACAUAAAUGAAUGUGUAAUCUUUGGGUGGAUAAGGCUUUCAUAGAUAUGAAGAAAGAGAUUGACAAUUCUGGUCACACAAAAUUUUAGAGCUUUAGGAAACCACGGACCAACCUAAAUGACAAGCAUAAAACCAUACGGCUCCAGCCUCACAGGUGGUGGGCUACUGGUGAAGCUCUGCUGUCAUGGGAAGUGCAACUGGACUAUAGGCAGAGUAAUGCAUGUAGGGUAUAGCACAUAGAGUACCGCACAUAGAGUACUGCACGUAGAGUGCUGCACACAGAGUACCACAUGUCGUGUGUCACACACGGAGUAACACACAUAGAGUACUGCACACAGAAUACCGCAGGCAGAGUACAACACAGAGUACUGCAUGCAAAGUAUUGCAUGUAGAGUACAGCACAUAGAGUACCACACACAGAGUACCACAUGUAGAGUAUCACACACAGAAUACUGCACAUAGAGUAGGCAGGUAGAGUACUGCAUGCAAAGUAAGGCAUAAAGAGUAUGGCAUGCAGAGUAUCCCAGGUAGAGUACUACACCCAGAGUCCUAUAUGUGGAGUACUGUACAAAGAAUACUGCACACAGAGUACAGCACACAGAGUACUGAAUGCAGGGUACCACACUUACAGUGCCUCACACAGACUACCACAUGUAGAGUACUGCACGCAGAGUACCACUUGCAGAGUACUGCACACAGAGUACUGCACAGCUUCCACAUCAGUUGGUAAAGAGCUGCUUCCCUGAAUCUCUGAGUGGCAUGUGCCCUGUCCCCACCUCCCUUUGGAUCAGCCCCCCCUCCAACAUUCAGGAAUUUGCAGAUGAAUGCCUCUAGGAUCCUGCUCCAAAGUUCCAGCUGAUUUUCAUCCUAAUUUUUUGAUGCCCAUGCUACACAAUUGUCAAAAUAUUUUGAAUUUUACCCCAUUCUUAACAUAAUAUUACUGAAUGAUUAUUAUGUGAUAGGCACUGUCUUAUCUAUGUUAGGCUCUGUAACUCAUAUAAUCCUCACAACAGCUUUGGAAAGGGUAUGUUAUUGCUAUGCCAGUUUGCAGAUACACAGAGAUGUUGAAAGGGCAACUCCUGGCUAGGUGCCUAGGGUUACAAAGAUUGAAAAAGGUGUAGUGAGGUAGAACCUGGGAAGUCUGGCUUUGGAGCUGAUACUUCUUUUUUUAAUAAGUCUGAAUGAACUAAGACACUAAGUCAAUAAGGCAAAAAUAAAGAACAGCUUAAAUUACAGAAUUAUUUCAUGAAUACAAUGAAAGUACAGAGACAUUGUCCCUAUUUUUUUUGUUUUUAAUAUUACAUGUUUAUUAUUGAAGUACAGUUGACAAGUGUUAUGUUAGUUUCAGUUACACAACAUAGUGAAUCUACAGCUCUACACAUUAUGCAGUGUGGAGCCAAGACUCUUAGCCUUGGAGCAUCACUGCCAUUUUCCAAACCAGCAAGAACAAGGAGGACAAACCCAUAGAAGAAUGGGUGAAGGAUUUGAACAGAUAAUUUGCACACACAGACACAAAAGAGAUGUACGUGUACAAUAAACCUAUGGCAAGAUUUUCACCUUCAUUAAAAAUUAGAUAAAUGUAGGGGUGUCUGGGUGGCUCAGUCGGUUAAGCAGCCAACUUCAUCUCAGGUCAUGAUCUAAGGUUUCAUGGGUUUGAGCCACACAUCAGGCUCUGUGCUGACAUCUCAGACCCUGGAGUCUGCUUCAGAUUCUGUCUCCCUCUCUCUCUGCCCCUCCCCUGCUCACUCUCUGUCUCUAUCAAAAAGUGAAUAAAUGUUAAAAAAAUAAAAAAAAAUAGAUAAAUGCAAAUAGUAAUAAUAAUGAUAUAUUCUUCUACUGUAAUAUUGGAAAAAAAUAAAGUUGGACAAAACCCAGUGUUAGAGAUGUUGUGAGGACAUGGACAAUUUUGUUAGUAGGGGUUGUGAUAUUUGGGGGACAGUUUGGUAAUACGCAUCCAAUAUGAAAUGUGUUUCCCCUUUGAAACAAGUCUACAUUCAGGUUACCACAGCAAAGAAAGAUAUAUAGUCAAGGACAUCCAUAAAUGUAUUGUCUAUUAUCACAAAACAAUGAAAACAACCAGAAUGCCCGCCACACGUGAGUUAGUAGAACAAAUAAUGGCAAAUUCUUAUAGUAGAACGUUCUCAGUCUUGAAAAUGGUGAUUAAGCUGAAAAUGCCUGAAUGACAUUUUGCAUUAAAUACAAUCACAAAACAGUGUGCAUAAUAUGAGACCACUUGUAGAAAAUUAUAUGCAUAUGAGUAUAUGUAUAUGCAUGGGGAUAAUCUGGAAGACAUGACACUAAAGAUUAAAUGGUAGGUAUCUCCAGGUGUGGGAGAUCUUUUUCUCUCCUUCUUUGGGGAGCAAAUUUCACAUUGUUUGAAUUUUUGAUUAAAACAGUAAAUAUAUUUAGUUAAAAGAACUAUCAGUGAUGGGGUGCCUGUGUAACUCAGUCAGCUGAGUCCGACUCUUGGUUUCGGCUCAGGUCAUGGUCUCACAACUGGUGGAUUUGGCCUCUGCACUGGCAGUGUGGAUUCUCUCUCUCUCCCUCUCUCCCUGAACCUCCCUCCUCUCUCAAAACAAAUAAAGAAAACAUUAAAAAAAACACAAAGAGCUAUCAGUAAGAUAUUGGCUAUAGCUUCUAGCUGAGACUUCUGGAAGGCAUUGUGCUUCUUUUAGAAAAGUGUUUUUCAAACUGCAGGUUAAAAUCCAUUACUGGUUCUAAAAUCAGUGUAUAGGUUAUAGACAGCAUUUAAAAACAAAAAAAACAAACAUACAAAGUUGAGUGUUAUUUUGUGAACUAAUAAAAAUUUACUGUUGUGCUUGCUUUGUGAGGUAAAAUGUUAUCUGUAGGGUCACAGUUCUUUGAUGGUAUGCUGACAAUGUGCUGCUGGUCUGCCAGACUCCUGGGAUUCAGACACUGAGGAGAUUCCCCCAACCCUCCAACUUUUUGGAGCAAAGAAAAUAAAGGGCCCAAAAACAAAUCCUGGUGCUUUCCUGUGUGGACUUAGGUGGUAUGGCAUGUGCCUUUCUCUUGGAAAUUGCACUAUUACUGGCUAUUCCAUGUGCUGAAGAAGCUUGCUGUGGCUUGCAGUCACCCAGAGAGGUGUUUUCAGGCAAGUCAAGCAGCUGUUGUCUUCUGAGUCUGUGACCUUCUCCCUUCCUUCCUUCCUUCCUUCCUUCCUUCCUCUCUUUCUUUCUUUUCUUUC